GGGUCAUUAGGUUGGUCGUGCCACCGGUACGUACUGGUCUCACUGAUUCCUCCUUCCUGAAGAACCGUAAUGCCAUUAAUCUGGUGUUGCGGGGAAACAGGACUGUUACUUUGAAAAAAUUAGAGUGUUUAAAGCAAGCUAACGCUUGAAUACAUUAGCAUGGAAUAAUGAAAUAGGACGAUCGAUCCUAUUUUGUUGGUUUCUAGGAUUGACGUA
rnacentral:rRNA from 1 species